ensembl:lncRNA
AUCUGCUUUGUCUUCAAAUAGAAUAGCUACCCUUGCUUUUUUCUGGGUUCCUGUCAAAUGGAAUACUGUUUUUCAACCCUUGACUUUCAGUCUGUGAAUUUGUUUUUGAAUUAAAUAUGUUUCUUGUAUGCCGCAUAUUGUUGGAUCUUGCUUCUUCAUCCUUUCUGACAGUCUGUUUUUUUGAUUGGUCCUUGUCCAUGGCUGUGUUACUUUUGCUGUUACCACUUCAGAGAGUUCCAGGAGAGAAGAUUUAAAAUGGGUUAGGGGUUUUUAAAAAAAAGAGAACUAGAAGAAGAGGAAGAGAUCAGAAGCAAGGCUGGAGGACAAACUUUAGGAAACUGGUGAAGAAGACAGGUGAGAAAGAGAAAAGAAAAAAAUAAAAAAUAAAAACAAGAACAGAACAACAAAAUCUGGGCCAGGGAUUUAGCUCAGUGGCACUGCGGCUGCCUUGCAAGUGCAAGAUCCUGAGUUUGAUCCUUGGUACUGAAAAAGAAAAAGGAAAAGGAAAAGAAAAGAACCAGAAAGGAGGGAAAAAAAGGAAAAGAAAAAAACACAAAGAAAACAAAAAACCCAAAAAGUCCAAUUCAAGAUGUGUCUCUGCCGUCACUAAUAGGCAGCAUGGGCAAAGAGUUAGAGCUCAGUUGAUUAAUCCUAGAACACCAGCCACAGCUUCAUGUUGGGUUAGUGGAUGAUCCCAGUCAGCCUGCCCUCUUAUUUCUCCUGAAGUUCAGGUCAGUUUCUGUCUAUGAGGCUGGAACUGGAUUCCUUGAGCCUACAACAGUCUAUGUAUCUCCUGCCAACUUGAACUCCACUCCCUGGCCUCCCGCUGUCUUGAAUUCAGCACCAGCACCAAGGCACCCAGAGCCACUAGAUAGGGUCAGCCAGAAGUUGUUCUGAGUUCUGAGCUCAGCUGGCCCCUCUCCAAGAUGGCUACCAGCCAGAGGAACAGAGCUUCGUGGGUGCCAGCAGCACCGCUCCCCACCACCCCCACGGCUGGGCUGUGCCAGUACCUGGAUCCACACUGCAGAAGUGCAGGGGGUCAUAAAGGCCAUGCCCUGAGCUCAGAAGAUAGAGCAGAAGUAAACAACCGAAAGAGGGCCUCUCUCAGGCUCCCUCAUGAAAACUGAAGCCCACUGGAAAAGGGAAGAGAAUCUCUGCAAUAAAGGCACACCAGACCACCUUACUUGGGAGAACAACUGAGAGCUCUUCAUGCUACUGACAACUUACAGUGAAGAUGAAAAUUGAAUGUUAAUAAAUGUGAACCUAUCACUUUGAUGGCUUUCCAACACAAGAAGACUUCAGCUCUGGAACAGAGAUGCUCAAGAUCAAAGCGCCAGCAGACUCAGUGCCUGGUGAGGAUCCACCGCCAGGGCUUGGACAGCCGCGUUCUCGCCUCAUCCUAUGUGCCGGAAGCGGGCAGGCGCUCUCUGACGUCACUCCUACAAGAGCGCUGAUCCCAGCUCCAUGACCCCAUCCUUGAGACCUAAGCACCCGCCAGAGGUUUCAGCACAUGAUUUUAUCACAUUGGAGUUGAAGAUUUCAAUUUAUGAUGGGGGGGGCAUUCAGUUCAUUGCAAUAGCGAAAAUCAGUAUUUCUUCCUUUUCCACAUUUCAGUUCUAAGCCUCCUAUUUUCUCCAUGUCCUAUGUCUUGUAAGCAAUCUUAUACAACCCUCUGUUCUGAUUCUCAGUGUACCCUUCUUUAUCAUUGUGAUGCUCAGAUAUGCAUGUCUUUAUCAUUAAUUUAGCUGCCCCAGCCUAUUGUAUAGGCAUUUGUAUUUCACUGUUUCCAACUUAAUUUGGUUCUCACUUCCAGAGAUUUCCAUGGAAGUUUUCUUUCUAAUUUAUAAUUGGAUGAAAAAUCUAUGUUUUAAAAAUUUGAAUACUAGGCCUUUCUGUCAAAUAAAAUCCCUUGAUUUCUUACUUCCUCACUCUAUCUGCCAAAUGGUAACCAAAUAAGUUUUUAUUCAUAACUUGAAUAUGAUUAUUCAGCUACUUAAUCUACUUGACCAUUUGACUGUUCAAUUUUCUAUCUUAGAAUUCUUCGUUAUCCUCCCCAAAUAAUGCCAUAUUUGACAAACUAGGGCCCUUUGACCAAAGAAAGCGGUGCUAUACAUUCUUCUAUCUUAAUAAUCUGACUGUUAAUCAAAGAGAAAACAAUUUUUUAAGUAACUGCAUGUCUCUAUUAUUGGGCUUCAAGUUUUAUCUUUUUUUCCCUCAUUUAGAAAAAUUCUGCUCUUCUCCAGAUAAUUUACUCCAAGAAGUACACUUCGGUUUUUGGAAAUGAAUCAAAUCACUCUCCCAUUCUCUUUUAAUUGUCUCUCACAUACUUUUCUGGCCAAUAAAUCCCAAAUUUUAAUUGAUGUUCCCCUGAUUUGUCCUCAGAAUGGAAUCAGAGUAAAAGAAACUCUGUCCUGUGAUUCCUUUUUACUUGAAAAUUUCAUCCCCUGAAGUGAGGUUUUGUCUUGAUUAAUCUCUCCCUUCCUCUUUCUCUCUCCCUCUCUCCUUCUUGCUAUUUCCCUCCAGCUCUCUGUCUCUCUCCUUCUUUAGCUAGGUUUUUCGUGUUCCAGGGCUCCAGGCCUGAUCAUCAACACUGCUCAUUUAUUAUUUCCCAAAUGCCAGUGAAAACCCUCAGGGCCCUGAGAUGCUGAAACUUGUCUCCUAUCAGAUCUCAGGGUGUAUUCUGUAAUUGUUAGUAUACCUGUGUCUUAGCUCUCAGUUAGAUUGUAAAUCCUUUAAGGACAAGAAUUGAGUCUACUUCUUUGAUUUGCAAAGCAGAUGCCACACUCACUGGCAUUUUGUAAGUAAAUUUUGGCUCAGUAACUCCAGAGCUGAGCUCCAAAGGGAAGCCACAUGUGGCCAGUGGUCAGGCCCUGGUGAUCUCUGGUUUAAUUUUCACUUUAAAAAUUUACAUAGAAGAAUUUCCUGGAAAUAGAUUUGGAGAGUUGUGACUAGCACUAAAAAUAAGUAAAAUAUAAGCUCAGAUACAAUAUUCCAGUGAAUUUCUCCUAGUGAGGAAAAUCAGGCUUUGAAAGCAUUGUGGUCUAGGAUGAGGAAUCAAGUAGAUCCUUGAUCUGGAGUCACUCAGGUUGUUGACAGAGGAGCUGAUGUAGAGAUUUGCAAAGGAGCCUCUGUAAAAUCAUGAGCAACUUUUUGUGGCUUUUGCUCCUUGGCCCGUCAGUCUAAGUGUGAGGUCUAAGCACACACUGGGUUACUUCUUGGGCCUUGUUAAAUAGCUCAUUCCUUUGUUCGGAACAGUUAGAUGUUCUGAGAGGAUUCCAAACACUGAUGGAAGUCUCAGGGUGAACACAGCCUAUAAAUCUUCCCAAGGGUUUUCAUUUACCCAAAUGGGAAGUUAAUUAUCACUGACAUAAACUGCAAAGAUCAACAACCUCCAAUUAAUUUUAACAAAUGUCCAGGGAGUGCCAAGAUCGUGUGGGCUGAAGACAAAGCUUACGCCUUAGAAAAACUUAGAUCAAAUACAGAGGUGGCUAAACUAUAGACCUCAGGCCAAAGCUGGCCUACUGCCUACUUGUGUAAAUAAAGUUUUAUUGGAAUUCAGCCAGAUGCAUUUGUGCUUUUAUUGUCUGUGGCAGAUUUUGCACAGCUAUGCACAACUGAGUAUAGUUUCAGCAGAGAUCAUGUGGCUGCUCCUUUAUAGAAAAAGUUUGCCAAUCUCAUCUAAUAAAACACAAAAAAUUGAUUAAAAUAGUGUUCUAUGAGAAUUCCAUAUGAAAAUGACAUUGUCAAUAUAAUAUUUUCCUCAUUUAUAUGACUAAAUAACUUAUUUCACCAUCUGAUGGAAAGCCUUAAAAGGACAGAAGAAAGUUUCCCUUUUGAAAACUUAGUGAGAAAAAAACAUUGUGGUCUUUAUGAAAUGGCAUUUCAUGGUUUUCUGUCUUACACAUACAUAAUCACACUGACCAGAACUUGAAUGUUUGACUGCAAAAUGCCGAUAUUAUCAGUGUCUCUCUCUGACACACCCAACCACCCCCACACAUAUAUACACGCACACAAAUCCAGUGCUACGUCAGCUGAAUAUCAGAUCAAAGACCACCAGGGGACUCUCCAUCAGUGUGGGUCACCGUCAUCAUAUGCAGGGCCUCGGUGCCUGGCACUGUUAUUUUUGAGCCAAUAUUUAUUUGUGAAAUUAACUUACUAGCAUGUCUGAAAUUGUACUUGGUAGCACUAGGGUUCCUGUCCUGCACGAGAACCCACUGGAGAAGCAGCUUCCACCCUCGCAUGGACCCAUGGGCCUGUGUGCACAGGUCACCCCAAUUCCUACCGUUCCCCAACUCAGGGGAGGUGUCAGCUGCCAUUGCCAGCAUGCUCAGCAAAGAGAUUUCUCUGCAGCCAUUCUUUUAGAAACAGGAUAACAAAAGAUUCACCAAGAAGACUGUUUAAACAAUGAGUUUUCCUACCUGUUUAGUAUUCAAGCAAAGGGUAUGCUGUCUGCAGUCUCUUUACUCUUUUAUGUUCUUUCCCAACCCCUGUAGAUAGGAUAAUUUGAGACCAGUGUCUUAGACUCAUAAGGAAAAGCAGAGUUGAAAUGAUUUUAGAGAAAAGAUAUCCAAAGAGAAGUGAAUUGAAGAUAAACUUGGAGGUUUAGAGAGAAAAUAUUAGCAUUUAUAUGUUUUAUUGCUUUCUACAUCUGCAUUUUAUUAGUAUAUAACAGUCAAAAAUUAGAACUCAUAUGAAUACGUAAACAUAUCUAGAAGCUGACUCAAAAUUGAGGGAUAGAAGCAUAUUGUGACACAAGGAUGAAGACCAUAGUCUUGGGGACUGGAAGGGGAUCUGAGAGCUCGUUACAUCCAAACCUUCAUUGUAGAAAUCGAGCACCCAAAGCACCAGAAGGUGGGACAAGCAGGUGAAGGGCACAUAGCAUAGACUAGUUCUUCUAAAUCCCACUCACGUGUUCACAAGUCAUGGAGACCACUAUGGUGAUAAAUAAUCGCCCUGCAAUAACCGGGCAACUUGUAGGAAACUGUCAGCCCGCUUCCUCCAGCGAAGCACAAAUUUCAGGUGGUGGUACCCAGAAUACUUUGCCCUUUUUUUGUGAAAAAUGGCAUCUGAUCAAUCUUGCCUGCUGCCAGGAGAGGCCGUGAGCUAUGGCUGUGUUCUCAUUGGCCAGCUCUCCUUGGCCUGCAUCUGCCUGCUUUUCCUGUGGAAAUAAAAUAUAUGGGCAGGAGAAAGGACAUAUUUGGUAAUGUUACGCUCCUCAGCUUCCUGCUCGGGGCUGUCUCAGCUGCAAAAUGUCAAGGGAAAAAAUAUCCCUCCAACUUGGAAUGAAUUCCAGACAGACCCUGAUGCCUGCAAAUUGGUCGGAGGGAGCCAAGUCCGGAGUAAGCGAACAUGAAGAAGGCUCAUUAUGUGACUUCAAGAGACGCUCACAUAAUCAGACACUCUGGUAUUUAUGACUUUCCCCCAUUUCAGAUGGUCUGUAGCUCACAGCUCUCCCCUCCCUUUACCGCCGAUUCUGAGCUUCCUUUUAAAUUAAACCUCAACAGUUAUAAAAAGACUCUCACAUUACUUCUAAGCCACAAGUCCUACCAGGAGACACUCUGUUCAUACAGGGCUGUUAGGGCUGGAAAAGGGCAGCUCUUUUUGAUUAUUAGUCUGGGGAGGGCAGGCCAGGAAGUGAGACUCACUUUACCUUGACCACACGGCAGAAGUCCUCAUCGGGUUCCCAUGUUUGUGCCAGCUCUCUGCCACUCACAGCGCUGAACAUGACGAUCUUUACUGAAAAGUACUUAUUUAUUUCCAUUAGCUUUCUUUUUCAUUUUGGCUCUACUUUUCAUCAGAGGGCAUGGACUAACCAGUGUAUCCUGACACUCCCAGUGUAUGAAUAUAUCACGGGGACUGUGUGUAAGAUUGAAUUUUGGAGGAUCUUUAUCUUUUUGCUGGCAUUCAGUACUUUUUCUCCCCCUCUUUUAACCCAAUUGCCACAUGUUGGCAAAGAGGGAAGGAAAUAGUUUGUAACCCAAACCUCAUUCAAUUCCUGCAUACACAUUUUCCUGUCAGCUUCUUGCUCUUCAUUUCUAAAUGCUAUGGUGUUUGUACUUGGUCAUCCCCAGUCCUUAUUUGGGUUCUCCAAGAAGCACGGAAGCAUCCAAGAAUCAGUUUUAGCAACUGGUGGAAGAGCCCACAUGGGAAAUGUGGUGAUCCGUCUUAACAUGUGGUCUCUAGGAAUAAGGGUCUCCUUUUUCUCUCUCCCUCCACUGUCCAGCACCUUUACACUGGUUUUGCCCCUCAACAGUCUAGGGUUUGUGCUACUUCCAUGGUGAUCAACUGUUAGGUCAUAAACAUCAGAUGUGGCAUCACUGAAUGAGUCAGUGGGG